rnacentral:lncRNA from 1 species
AAGUUAUGUUGCAAUUUUGGUGGGAGGGGUAAAAUGUUUAAAUACUCUGCACGCAGCCUGGAGCUUUCUCUUUGCUGCGUGCAACGGAUCACCUGGAGCACUUGGACCGUCUGGAGGACAGUGGAGCGAUCUUCUCAUUGUCUGGUUACAUUUCUUUAUUUUCCCCUUCUUUUUAAUCUUCUCUAGUCCCUUAAUUAAUUUAAUUCCCCCCUUUUUUUUCUGUUUGAUUUCCCACCCCACCCCUUACCCUGCCCUUUGGGAAGAUUCUCCCUGUACCUGUGAGCGCUGCCUGUGCAUAAUCCUCCUGGGCUUGCCUUUUCCAAUAGGGAGAGAGCCCCCAUUAGGGGCUUUCUUUUGCAAAAAGUUUUUCCCCAUUUUCGCCUGUUUAAUUGUCGGGCUAGCCAGGGCUGCUCCCAGCUUACCUGGAAUCACUUUCAUUUAUAGUAUCCCCAUAGGUUGGCUUUAUUUUGGGUGCAUGCAGUGCUGUUGGCCGAGUUUUAAUCUAGCCUUGGGCGGGCACACUAUUGAGUUCCUUUAAUACUGCAAUGAGACAAAAAAGGCAGAGAGCUGAAGCAGGGAGGCCUUCACGGCCUGCUCGGCCUGCACAUAUCUUUCAAGCCUAAGCCUGCUACAGUUAGCAGUACAGUGAAUUCCCAGCUUACCUGGAAUCACUUUCGUUUAUAGUAUCCUCAUAGGUUGGCUUUAUUUUGGGUGAUUGCAGUGCUGUUGGCCGAGUUUUAAUUUAGCCUUGGGCGGGAGCACUAUUUUGAGUUCCUUUAAUAUUGCAAUGAGACAAAAAAGGCAGAGAGCAGACGCAGGGAGGCCAUCACGGCCUGCACGGCCUGCACAUAUCAUUCAAGCCUAAGCCUGCUACAGUUAGCAGUACAGUGAAUUGUUAAGUUUCUGUAACAUGUGACUCAUUCUCUCUAUAAGAAUGUAUCUGUUGUUUGCAGGCUCACUUGUUGCUAAUGUAUAGCUUAGGCAGACAGAGUGGAGCCAGAGGCUCUCUGUGCCUCCAAUGAGCACUCUUUGUAUGCUCUUUAACUAUGCUGUUUCUGAACAAGUUUAUUUUCUUCAAGUUUGUUUUUCCCUGAUAGUGGCGACUGCCAUUUUAGAAACGAGCCAUUGUGGCUUAGUGGCUAGAGUACAGGACUAGGACCUGGGAGACAGGGUUCAUAUCCCUCACUUAGCCAUUGUUAUAACAAGGCAAAACAAGCUGCUCCUUUUGGACUAUUUUGUUGCUGGGUAGUUUGGCCCAUUUGUGAUAUUGCUCCCAAAAAGAACUUUGGGUUUCUUGAGGAGGUGCUUCCCUCUAAAGGGCAAGCAGGGGUACCUGGACAUGCGGUGGGCUGCCUCGAGUUUGUUAUCUCAUUGGAAACAUUUAUGUCUGGCCUAGCAGGUGAUCCUAGGGCUUGGCCCGCUUGGCCCUAGAAUUUGAUGGCCUCUGGCAGCGUUUCUGGCCUGAAUAGCGUCCCCAUGUGGUGCACAAAGCAUUGGUUUCACCUGUUCCUCACAUUGUUUAGGUUUUUUCUUUUCGCAGACUAUGACAGGGCCUUUGCAGAUGCCUCCAGAGCUUGCCUCUCCUGCAGAGGAUGACUUGUUGAUGCCCCAGGUGCCUUCUUCAGGAAGGAGGCGUCUUCAGAGGCAGGAAAAAGCAUAGCAGGGAUGAUGCUUACACCUCCUUGCAGGUAAAUCAUCACUGGGCUCUGAUGAUGAUUCAGACAUCACCUUGGACCUCUCCAGGGGUCAGGGUGAGGCUGUUCCAGGUCUUUAGGGAGCAUCCUGGAUAGCUCAGCUGGUCAGCGUAUGGUGCCGGUAAUGCCUAGGUUGCAGGAUUGGUCCCUGUAUGGGACAGCUGCAUGCUCCCUCAUCACUUUACCCGGACACUGAGGUCCAGUGCCGAGGGCCUUUCUGGUGGUUCCCUCACUGUGAGAAGCCAAGUUACAGGGAACCAGGUGGAGGGCUUUCUCGGAAGUGGCACCUGCCCUGUGGUACACCCUCCCACCAGAUGUCUACUACCAGACUUUUAGAAGACAUCUAAGGCAGCCCUGUUUAGGGAAGCUUUUAAUGUUUGAUGCAUUACUGUAUUUUAAUAUUUUGUUGGAAGCUGCCCAGAGUGGCUGGGGAAGCCCAGCCAGAUGGGCGGGGUACAAAUAGAUGAUGAUGAUGAUGAUGAUGAUGAUGAUAUUGUGGGAGAGUGGACUAGAUGAUCCUAGGAGUCCCUUCCAACCCCACUAUUCUAUAAGUGGUAAUUCACUAUGAUGGGAAUGUUAGACGCAGGGCUGCCAUCAUCCCCUUAGCUCGCUAGGAUCGCAGGGACGGGGACAUGUGGACCACUUGCGCAGCUCCACAUUUCAAAUGGAAAUUCCCUGAGCAAUAGAACCUGAAGCUGGUAUGCAGGAAGCUGGCCCGGUGGCAGCUUUGUUGGGACUUCUUUAGGGUCUCUGGCCAGUGUUGGCCCUGUAAAUUUACACAUCAUGGUGGCAACACAAGGCAGGGCUUCUUGCCCAAGCGGGGCUGGCAAGCAAUAACUCAAUACCUCUCGCCCAUAUUUCCAUAAAAAUAUCUCCCUUUAAAGCCUGGCUAAAAGGUUAUCUAGAUGCGUCAGUAGCUUUGUGCUUGUGGGAAGGGUUUUUCUCCAAGGUUUCGGGAUUCCUCUGGCUUUUCAGCCAGUGGCUCAGAAUACAGCAACUCAAAAGUCAGUUAGAGUCUGUGGUAGCCAGAAAGUCUGUGGUAGCCAGAAAGAAGGUUAGGAAGCAGCUUGCAUUGGGACGUAUGGUGGGAUCCCCUUGAUUCUCCUUCUAGUCCCGAUUUUCAUUUAUCCCCAUUGGGGAUCGUCCCUAAGAAAGCCCCAUAUAAUUCCAUCUGAUCCAUAUUUAUCGCACCCCAAAGGCACCUCAGUGAAUGAUGCUAUCCCUCCGGAAUUGUUCCGUGAAAUAUGCAUCUUUGGAUCAGGCAGUUGAGCUUACCAACAAAUUGGAGGAGGUGCCUUGUUGGCAUUAUGCGAUAUUGAAUCGGCUGUUAGGCUGCUGCCGGUUCACCCUCAAGAUUUUAAGUAGUUAGGCUUUAAUUGGAUGGUCCUUAUAUGGAUAAGGCGAUGCCAGUUGGUUGCUCAAUAGGCUGUGCAGCACUUGAGUCCUUUAGCGCCUUUCUGGAUUGAACAUUGCGAGUCAAGACUCUUUUAACUGGGGGUAUCGUUAUGUGGAUUAUUUUACUGGCUGGUUCAUGUGACACCAGCCUCUGCUUAGCUUACUAGAUGCCCCUUUAUUCCCUGAGGAGCUGGGUGUUCUGUUGGCAGUGGAGGACAGUGGCUCCUACUGCCCCUUUUAAUGUAUUUGGGGGCUAGCUGGAUACCGUUGCUCAAACAUCUGCUUGCCUGUGGAAAAGCUGUUUGCCUUGAAGGAUGUUAUUCUUGUAAUACUUCCUCUGAGGCAAGUGUUGCUUUGUCAGAUCCUAUCAUUCCUAGGUCAGUUAAAUUUUGUAUGCAGGGUGGUUGCUCCAGGCUGCCCCUUCCAUUCCUGCUUGGCCAGGUGGUCUCAUGGCCCGGUGUCCCUUCAUCAUCAUGUACAGUGGCCUUGAGCCUGGCAGGGCAAGGCAAUCACAUGUAACCUAACUUUCUUGAGUUUUCCUCAUUGUAGUGUCAGCGCACAUCUGGACUGAGGAGUUUAGGGACCGUCAGGUCUGUCUUGGUCUGAUAACCAGGCAGUGUGAGAGUCCUGGCAAAACGGUCUUCAUGCUCUGGCAGAGUCUUCGCACUGCUUAAGGUUUAAUAUUGCGUUUCUGCUCACUUUAUUUCGGGAUCAUCUAAUGUUUUUGCUGUGGCUCUAUCCCGUUUUUUCAGUUGGAGAGCUUCAGAUCCUGGGCUCUGGACACCCAGCUAUUUUUCUGGAGCUCCUGUGGCACUUGGCGACAAUUAAUAAUUAUGAGGAAUAGUAGCUUACGUUUCCCCAUCCGCUUUCAGGUCUUAUGAGAAGGCCUGGACUGAUUUCUUAAAAUUUAGCUGGUAGUCCUCGGCCAUUCAGAGGAACCUGCCCCCAUCCUCUGAGCAGGACCUGCAGUAAUUCGCCCACCUGCUGCAGAUAGGAUGCAGUGUUAAAACUAUCAGAAUUCAGUCCGCUGCAAUGUCUGCUAGAGUAAAGCUUUAAUUUUCAGAGACCCUUCUAAAAGUGUGUCAUGCGCAGGGUCUCGGAAGGUUGGAAUAGGCUCUGACCUUCACAGGACAGCAGGCAGGAAGCCGGUCAAUCUUUGACCUAUGCAGUAUCUGCAACAAGUUGAGACUUGUUGGCUGGUUCAAGAUCAAGACGAGACUUAUUUCAGUAUUCCAUUGUAAUUUUGGUGUACUGAGGGUUGGGGAAAUUGUGUUGGAGCCAGCACGGGGCUGAGAGUUUGGAGGCUUAUUGCCACAGGACUUUUCCUUAUCUGCUUUGGAGCUUGUCAUAAGUGUCUGGAGCUCUAAGUCAGACCUAGUGAGCAGGGUUGCCACCAUCAGGCUUCCAGUCACAGGUGAGGUGGGCCCUUGCCCUGUUAUUGGAUACCGGAAAUAUUUGGCUUUUCGUUCCCCUGGGGGCUGGCUCAAUCCUAGUGCACAGAAAUGGGUUCCGGUUCGACAGGCAUCUAAUUGCUCACGUCGUGCGCCAGUUAUUGCAGCCUGCGGCUUGCCUACCGCUGAACACGCCUCAUUCCUUCCAAAUAGGUGCUGCUGCAAAGGCUGCGCAUUGGGGCCUGUUAGUAGACAGGAUUGUGAAUACGGGUCAUUGGAAGUCUGACGCUGACAAAGGUUAUGUCAGGAAGCAUCGCCAAUGAUGCCUGUGCUGAUGCCUGUCUGUUAUUCCUUUUUCAUAGGAGCAGCUGUGCGCAUUUGGAUUGUCGGCCACAGCAUCAUGCACUGAGCUGGCAAGCACCCUGACGAGUCUGGACUGGGGGCGCCAUCUCGGCCUUCCUGCCCAUGUUUCUAGCUCCAGUCCGCAUCUGGAUUGUGGGGCACAGCAUCGUUUACUGGGCUGGCAUCAGAGCUAGGCAGUCUGGAAGGGGACUGGGUCUUGGCCUCCCGCAGUAUGUGCAGGUGUUGUGGAUGUCCAGGCGCAGAAUGCAGUGGAGCGAAUUCAUCCCGCUAAUUAAGCAGAGGGUGCUUGGAUGGCCCCCCAUGGCAAUUGUGGUUCAGCUGGGGGAACGAUGUGGCAACUUAUGAUUGCUUUACUUUGCGCUCCACGAUUCAGAGAGACUUGGGUGAAUUGGUGACCUUAAUACCCACAGUUAAAAUAUUUUGGUCACAAUUGCUGCAAAGGCGCAAUUGGCACGGCAUUUCUCGACCUGAGGCUGCUGAAAGGGCCAGGAAGCGCAUUAAUUCUGCAGUGUGUAAGAAGGUGGCGGAUUUGGGUGGAUUGGUUAUUUCCCGCCCGGAUAUUACCUUCAAGGCUCUGGCCCUUUACCGCAAUGAUGGAGUACAUCUCUCUGUACUGGGGAAUGAUGUUUGGUUGGAUGCGGUAACUGCAAGGUUGAAGGUUGGGUUGGGAUUGUGAGUGGUUGGCGGCGAGCGUAAAGGGCUCGAUUGGCGGUUAGGCAUUGGUUAUAAAUUGGUGGAGGAGGGGUUAGGAUAGGCUGGGCCUGCCCCUCCAUGGUUGCUGCGGAAAGGGAAUUCCGUUAAAGGAAUCCUGGGGCUUGCCAUCUUUUCGUCCAAUCCCUGGAAUGGGACUAGGGCCGGCAAGCCUUGGGGAGCAUGCGGAUGAGAAUUGAGGGUCUGUGGCCCAGCUCCAUUUUUCUCCGACUUGCUUUCCCCGCACUGUCUUUCGGUGGUGCCCGGAAGUCAGUUCUGUCCCCAGGCGGGGGACAGAUAGUCUUAACCAAUGCCUAAACAACCACUCACGGUUUUGUAUUUAAAUAAAGUUGUGGCCAAAAUUAUGCCAAAAACCUUA